rnacentral:tRNA from 1 species
CGUCCCCGUCUAGAGGCCCGACACCGCCCUUUCACGGCGGUAACAGGGGUUCGAAUCCCCAGGGGACGCC